rnacentral:tRNA from 1 species
GGGUCUUUAGUUCAGUGGUUAGAGCCCUCCGCUCAUAACGGAGUUGUCGCAGGUUCAAAUCCUGCAAGACCCACCA